CCGGCGCACGGUGAGUAACGCGUAUCCAACCUGCCUCUGACUGAGGGAUAACCCGUCGAAAGUCGGCCUAAUACCUCAUGGCAUCGUCUGCGGGCAUCCAACGACGAUUAAAGAUUUCAUCGGUCAGGGAUGGGGAUGCGUCUGAUUAGCUUGUUGGCGGGGUAACGGCCCACCAAGGCUACGAUCAGUAGGGGUUCUGAGAGGAAGGUCCCCCACAUUGGAACUGAGACACGGUCCAA
rnacentral:rRNA from 1 species